rnacentral:rRNA from 1 species
GUGUCAGCAGCCGCGGUAAUACGUAGGGUGCAAGCGUUGUCCGGAUUUAUUGGGCGUAAAGAGCUCGUAGGCGGUUAGUCACGUCGGAUGUGAAAACCCGGAGCUUAACUCCGGGCCUGCAUUCGAUACGGGCUGACUAGAGUGUUGUAGGGGAGACUGGAACUCCUGGUGUAGCGGUGAAAUGCGCAGAUAUCAGGAAGAACACCGGUGGCGAAGGCGGGUCUCUGGGCAACUACUGACGCUGAGGAGCGAAAGCGUGGGGAGCAAACAGGAUUAGAAACCCUGGUAGUCC